rnacentral:rRNA from 1 species
UAGGGAAUAUUGCGCAAUGGGGGAAACCCUGACGCAGCGACGCCGCGUGAGUGAUGAAGGCCUUCGGGUCGUAAAGCUCUGUUGCAAGGGAAAAAUUAAUGAUUGUACUUUGCGAGAAAGGAUCGGCUAACUUCGUGCCAGCAGCCGCGGUAAGACGAGGGAUCCUAGCGUUGUUCGGAAUUAUUGGGCGUAAAGCGGGUGUAGGUGGCUUUACAAGUCAGAUGUGAAAGCCCGGGGCUUAACCCCGGAAGUGCAUUUGAUACUGUUUAGCUUGAGUGCCGGAGAGGUUACUAGAAUUCCUGGUGUAGUGGUGAAAUACGUAGAUAUCAGGAGGAAUACCGGAGGCGAAGGCGGGUAACUAGCCGGACACUGACACUGAGACCCGAAAGCGUGGGGAUCA